CAAACAGGGAUAAGUGACUUGCCCAGGAUCAUAGAGCUAAAGCCUCACAAAUGCUGAACUAGUUCUGGCAAUGUGUGUAUCAACCUUAUCUUCUAUCAUGGAUGUGUAAAUCCCGGGAAAGCAUACUGCUAAGGUUUUGUCAUGGUGGGAGCAUAGGCAGUGAUGAUGGUGGCA